CGCGAAUAGCUCAUUACAACAGCUAACAAAUCUACUUGAUCUUGACACAAUCCUACUUGGAUAACUGUGGUAAUUCUAGAGCUAAUACAUGCAUUAAAGCUCUGACCUUCGGGGAAGAGUGCAUUUAUUAGAACAAAACCAAGCGGCUUCGGCUGUUUUCGGUUGACCCAUAGUAACUGAGCUGAUCGCAUGGUCUUGCACCGGCGACGUGUCUUUCGAGUAUCUGCCGUAUCAACUUUCGAUGGUAGUGUAUCUGACUACCAUGGUGAUCACGCGUAACGGAGAAUAAGGGUUCGACUCCGGAGAGUUCGCCUGAGAAAUCGCGAACACAUCUAAGGAAGGCAGCAGGCGCGAAAAUUACCCACUCUCAGCACGAGGAGGUAGUGACGAAAAAUAACGAGACCGUUCUCUUAUGAGGCCGGUCAUCGGAAUGGGUACAAUUUAAACCCUUUAACGAGUAUCUAUGAGAGGGCAAGUCUGGUGCCAGCAGCCGCGGUAAUUCCAGCU
rnacentral:rRNA from 1 species